rnacentral:rRNA from 1 species
AACGAACGCUGGCGGCAUGCCUAACACAUGCAAGUCGAACGAGACCUUCGGGUCUAGUGGCGCACGGGUGCGUAACGCGGGGGAACCUGCCCGUAGGUUCGGAAUAACUGCCCGAAAGGGGUGCUAAUACCGGAUAAUGUCUUCGGACCAAAGAUUUAUCGCCUUUGGAUGGGCCCGCGUUGGAUUAGCUGGUUGGGAGGGUAAAAGCCUACCAAGGCGACGAUCCAUAGCUGGUGUGAGAGGAUGAUCAGCGACACUGGGACGGAGACCCGGCCCAGACUCCUACGGGAGGUGGCAGUGGGGAAUAUUGGACAGUGGGCGAAAGCCUGAUCCAGCACUGCCGGGUGAGUGAUGAAGGCGUUAGGGUUGUAAAGCUCUUUUACCCGGGAUGAUAAGGCCAGAACCGGGAGAAAAAGCCCGGGUUACUUCCUU